rnacentral:rRNA from 1 species
AGAGAGGGAGCUUGCUUCCUCGAUCGAGUGGCGAACGGGUGAGUAACGCGUGAGGAACCUGCCUCAAAGAGGGGGACAACAGUUGGGAACGACUGCUAAUACCGCAUAAGCCCACGGCUCGGCAUCGAGCAGAGGGAAAAGGAGCAAUCCGCUUUGAGAUGGCCUCGCGUCCGAUUAGCUAGUUGGUGAGGUAAUGGCCCACCAAGGCAACGAUCGGUAGCCGGACUGAGAGGUUGAACGGCCACAGUUGGGACUGAGACACCGGCCCAGACUCC